GUUUUAAUAGUUUAUAUUUAAAACUCUGGUCUUGUAAACCAGAAAUGAAAUAAUUUUUCUUAAAACUC
rnacentral:tRNA from 1 species